rnacentral:lncRNA from 1 species
AAUAAUCUAUCUAUACUAAUCCAUGAAUCUCCAAUAUCUUGCUGACAUGGCAUUACCUCCUUCUUUCAAAACUCCUCCCUUUCAUCUCUCAACCUCCAAAACUCCUCAUCUUCCAAAACCGUUCUCUUCUCAUCUCCCAAUAAAACCACAAUUGAAUGCAUAUAAUUGCACCAAAACUAUUCCCUCUCAUCUCCCAACCUCCAAAACUCCUCAUCUUCCAAAACCGUUCCCUCCUCAUCUCCCAAUAAAACCACAAUUGAAUGUAUAUAAUUGCACCAAAACUAUUCCCUCUCAUCUCCCAACCUCCAAAACCCCUCAUCUUCCAAAACCGUUUCCUCCUCAUCUCCCAAUAAAACCACAAUUGAAUGCAUGCACUUCAACAAAAUUUUGUAGGAUUAUUGACCUUCCACCUGUUGAAUUGAGAGCGCAAUAGAAUAGAAGGUUCGAUUUCUUAUAGCUCUACUUCUAGCAGUAGUUUCUUUUUUCGUUUUUCACAUUUAAUUUGUUGUUCGCUUGGAGCUUAGGAAAGCAUUUUUGGGUGUUUUUUUUUUUUUAUUUUUGGCACAUUUUUUGUUUUUUUUAAUUCGUUCUAACUUCUUGAAAAGUUUCCUUUUGUUUCAGAGAGAUGAUUCUUUUUUUGUCUUGAAUGUUUAGAAUAUUUUUCCCAAUAUUAUUAUGGGGAUUUUUUCUCCCUUUUUUGAGAAGCUUAUUCAAGGGGCUUUUUAUUGUUGGUUUUAUUGUUGGUUUCUAUAUUUUUCCUCUUAAAUACAAACCGACACUAAUGUGACACUUAUAAUAUUGGAUUAUUAUCAUAGUGUAUUAUACAAUAAUUAAAAUAUCGC